AAAUUAUUUCAAUUUUCUUUUACAAUACUAUUAAUCUAUAAUUAAAAUUAUUUUUUUUUUAUUAAAUACUAAAACAAAACUUUAUAUAAUUAUUUUUAAUAAUUUAAUUUUUAAUAAAUUUUUAAAUUAAUAAAUAAAAUUUAAUCAAUUUAUAUUGAUUUGCACAAAAAUCUUUUCAAUGUAAAUGAAAUACUUUACUAAAUAAGCUUUAAAUUGCAUUCUAGGUACACUUUCCAGUACACCUACUAUGUUACGACUUAUCUUACUUUAAUAAUAAGAGUGACGGGCGAUGUGUACAUAUUUUAGAGCUAAAAUCAAAUUAUUAAUCUUUAUAAUUUUACUAUCAAAUCCAUUUUCAAUAAAUAUUUCAAAUUUAUAUUCAUAUAAAUAAUUUUAUUGUAACCCAUUUUUACUUAAAUAUAAGCUACACCUUGAUUUGAUAUACUUUUUUUAAAAAAUUAUGAAAAUUAACAUUCUUAUAAAAUAUUCUAAUAACAACGGUAUAUAAACUGAUUACAAAUUUAAGUAAGGUCCAACGUGGAUUAUCGAUUACAAAACAGGUUCCUCUGAAUAGACUAAAAUACCGCCAAAUUUUUUAAGUUUCAAGAACAUAACUA
rnacentral:rRNA from 1 species